CUCUGAAUGAACGCCUCUCUGAGGAAGAUGCAGGCGGGGCCCACGAUGUUGUGUAGAACGGUGCAGUUCUGGACCACAGCACACAACGGCUCCUCAAACACUCUUCUCCUUUCAUCUUCCUCCUCUUCUUCCUCCAGGGCCCCCACACCCCCCGGCAUUGCCGCCGCAGCCAAUGGGGCUCCGCUCCCCUCCGAGGGCAAUACCCCCUUAGGGAGGGGAACCAAUCAGAUUGAUUAACCAACCACAUGCCAACCAAUCAGAAUGAUCAGAAAAAGUGUGUUCAGCCAAUAAAAAUGGCAGAUGUUUUGGGUUCUUGGCCAGCUGUUCUUUCUGUGUGGAUCUACCCAGCAGGACUUGGGUUCCAACAGAAGAUAAAGGCAUUGCUUGGAUUUAAACAGCCAGCGUAGUAAUACAGUUUAAAUACUGCUUAAAGCAGGGGUUACAUGAGACUCCUGCUUUAGAACAUUUAGAAUGCAAUAUCAAGGAACGUUUAGAAUGUCUAGGAACAUUUAGAAUGUCUAGGAACAUUUAGAAUGUCUAGGAACAGUUAGAAUGUCUAGGAACAGUUAGAAUGUCUAGGAACAGUUCGAAUGUCUAGGAACAUUUAGAAUGUCUAGGAAUAGUUAGAAUGUCUAGGAACAGUUAGAAUGUCUAGGAACAGUUAGAAUGUCUAGGAACAUUUAGAAUGUCUAGGAACAGUUAGAAUGUCUAGGAACAGUUCGAAUGUCUAGGAACAUUUAGAAUGUCUAUGAAUAGUUAGAAUGGCUAGGAACAGUUAGAAUGUCUAGGAACAGUUAGAAUGUCUAGGAACAGUUAGAAUGUCUAGGAACAGUUAGAAUGUCUAGGAACAGUUAGAAUGUCUAGGAACAUUUAGAAUGUCUAGGAACAGUUAGAAUGUCUAGGAACAGUUAGAAUGUCUAGGAACAGUUCGAAUGUCUAGGAACAUUUAGAAUGUCUAGGAAUAGUUAGAAUGUCUAGGAACAGUUAGAAUGUCUAGGAACAGUUAGAAUGUCUAGGAACAUUUAGAAUGUCUAGGAACAGUUAGAAUGUCUAGGAACAGUUCGAAUGUCUAGGAACAUUUAGAAUGUCUAGGAAUAGUUAGAAUGUCUAGGAACAGUUAGAAUGUCUAGGAACAGUUAGAAUGUCUAGGAACAGUUAGAAUGUCUAGGAACAGUUAGAAUGUCUAGGAACAGUUAGAAUGUCUAGGAACA